rnacentral:misc_RNA from 1 species
UUCACAAUGUAAGUCAUUCUAGCAUUUCCCACAUUCAUAUUGAUGCUAAUUAGCAUCAAUAUGAAUGUGGGAAAUGCUAGAAUGACUUACAUUGUGAAAC